rnacentral:rRNA from 1 species
UACAGAGGUCUCAAGCGUUGUUCGGAUUCAUUGGGCGUAAAGGGUGUGUAGGUGGCGCCGUAAGUCAGGUGUGAAAUUUCGGAGCUUAACUCCGAAACUGCAUUCGAUACUGCUUUGCUUGAGGACUGGAGAGGAGAUUGGAAUUCACGGUGUAGCAGUGAAAUGCGUAGAUAUCGUGAGGAAGACCAGUGGCGAAGGCGGAUCUCUGGACAGUUCCUGACGCUGAGGCGCGAAGGCCAGGGGAGCGAACAGG